rnacentral:rRNA from 1 species
AAAUGAAUAGACGGGGGCCCGCACAAGCGGUGGAGCAUGUGGCUUAAUUCGAGGCAACGCGAAGAACCUUACCUGGGCUUGAAAUAUAACGGACAGUUGUAGAAAUACGAUCUUCCUUCGGGACUGUUAUACAGGUGCUGCAUGGCUGUCGUCAGCUCGUGCCGUGAGGUGUUCGGUUAAGUCCGGCAACGAGCGCAACCCGUGUCAUUAGUUACCAUCAGGUAAAGCUGGGGACUCUAAUGAGACUGCCCGUGUUAAGCGGGAGGAAGGCGCGGAUGACGUCAAGUCAGUAUGGCCCUUACGUCCAGGGCUGCACACGUGCUACAAUGGGUGGUACAAUGAGACGCAAAGCUGCGAGGCUGAGCAAAUCUACAAAACCACUCUUAGUUCAGAUUGCACUCUGCAACUCGAGUGCAUGAAGUUGGAAUCGCUAGUAAAGGCGUAUCAGCUACGACGCCUUGAAUACGUUCCCGGGCCUUGUACACACCGCCCGU